GUUUGAUCCUUGAUAACUUUCGUGUCGUUGGUUUUUUCUUUCUCAGCCGUAUACCUUUGUCUCACUUUUCUCUUCAUUUUGAUAGUAUUUUGAUCCGACAAUAGUUUAUCUUGAACGGGUUUUAAAGAGAAAUUUUAAUCAAGUGUACGGAACAACUAUCCGGCCGACAGGAGGAAUGUACCGCACUAUAAAAUAUAACUUUACUUGUAGCACAGUUUGUAGGCGGGAUUGCCGGAAAGUCUUAUUUGUAAAGCACCGCAUUUAGUACUGUGUUUGGUCGUUACUCUGUUCUUAUAAAAGCAUAUUUAGCACUUAGCCACAGAAGAGAUAAUACCAGAAGUCUCACUCGAGUGGAAACAUGUCCC